rfam:Dipodomys ordii contig_45164, whole genome shotgun sequence.
GGUGGCUCAGAGGUAGAGUGCUUGCCUUGCAUGCAUGAGGCCCUGGGUUCAAUUCCUCAGUACCA